rnacentral:rRNA from 1 species
UGGGGAAUAUUGCACAAUGGGGGAAACCCUGAUGCAGCGACGCCGCGUGAACGAAGAAGGUAUUCGUAUCGUAAAGUUCUGUCCUAUGGGAAGAUAAUCACAGUACCAUAGAAGAAAGCUCCGGCUAAAUACGUGCCAGCAGCCGCGGUAAUACGUAUGGAGCGAGCGUUGUCCGGAAUUAUUGGGCGUAAAGGGUACGCAGGCGGUUUAAUAAGUCGAAUGUUAAAGAUCGGGGCUCAACCCCGUAAAGCAUUGGAAACUGAUAAACUUGAGUAGUGGAGAGGAAAGUGGAAUUCCUAGUGUAGUGGUGAAAUACGUAGAUAUUAGGAGGAAUACCAGUAGCGAAGGCGACUUUCUGGACACAAACUGACGCUGAGGUACGAAAGCGUGGGGAGCAAACAGG